rnacentral:rRNA from 1 species
UAAUACGUAGGGGGCGAGCGUUGUCCGGAAUUACUGGGCGUAAAGGGCGUGUAGGCGGUUGGAUAAGUCUGGUGUGAAAUGGCGAGGCUCAACCUCGUCGCUGCGCUGGAAACUGUCUGACUGGAGUUCGGCAGGGGUUACUGGAAUCCCCGGUGUAACGGUGAAAUGUGUAGAUAUCGGGGGGAACACCUGUGGCGAAGGCGGGUAACUGGGCCGAGACUGACGCUGAUACGCGAAAGCGUGGGGAGCAAACAGGAUUAGAUACCCUGGUAGUCCACGCUGUAAACGAUGAAUGCUAGGUGUAGGGGGUAUCGACUCCCUCUGUGCCGCCGCAAACGCAAUAAGCAUUCCGCCUGGGGAGUACGGUCGCAAGAUUAAAACUCAAAUGAAUUGACGG